rnacentral:rRNA from 1 species
UACAGAGGGUGCGAGCGUUAAUCGGAAUUACUGGGCGUAAAGCGUGCGUAGACGGUUAUCUAAGUCGGAUGUGAAAGCCCCGGGCUCAACCUGGGAAUUGCAUUCGAGACUGAAUAGCUAGGGUACGGUAGAGGGAAGUGGAAUUUCCGGUGUAGCGGUGAAAUGCGUAGAGUAUGGAAGGAACAUCAGUGGCGAAAGCGACUUCCUGGACCAG